UAACGGCGAGUGAAGCGGCAACAGCUCAAAUUUGAAAUCUGGCUCUCGGGCCCGAGUUGUAAUUUGUAGAGGAUGUUUCUGGCGACGUGUCUUCCGAGUUCCCUGGAACGGGACGCCAUAGAGGGUGAGAGCCCCGUCCGGUCGUACGCCUAGCCUCUGUGAAACUCCUUCGACGAGUCGAGUAGUUUGGGAAUGCUGCUCAAAAUGGGAGGUAUACGUCUUCUAAAGCUAAAUACCGGCCAGAGACCGAUAGCGCACAAGUAGAGUGAUCGAAAGAUGAAAAGCACUUUGAAAAGAGGGUUAAAUAGUACGUGAAAUUGCUGAAAGGGAAGCGCUCAUGACCAGACUUGGGCUCGGCGAAUCAUCCGGCGUUCUCGCCGGUGCACUUUACCGGCCCAGGCCAGCAUCAGCUCGCCCCGGGGGAUAAAGGCUUCGGGAAUGUAGCUCCCUCGUGGAGUGUUAUAGACCGUUGCGUAAUACCCUGGGGUGGGCUGAGGUA
rnacentral:rRNA from 1 species